rnacentral:misc_RNA from 1 species
AACGCACAUUGCGCCCGCUAGUAUUCUGGCGGGCAUGCCUGUUCGAGCGUCAUUUCAACCCUCAAGCCUAGCUUGGUGUUGGGGACCGGCCGCUGCCUAACCGCCGCGGCCGCCCCCGAAAUAUAGUGGCGGUCUCGCUGCAGCCUCCCCUGCGUAGUAGCAAACCUCGCACCGGAGCGCAGCGCGGCCACGCCGUUAAACCCCCCACACUUCUGAAUGUUGACCUCGGAUCAGGUAGGAAUACCCGCUGAACUUAA